AACUUUGAGUAAUUGCGGUCUGCUAAUGCAGGCUGAGGAAAGUCCAUGCUCGCACAGGCUGAGAUGCUUGUAGUGUUCGUGCUUAGCGAAACAAUAAGCUAAGGCAAUUUUAUAUUGACGGCAGAAAAAAUGGCUACGGCUCAUGCUAUGCCAAAGUAUUCUUGAAAGUGCCACAGUGACGAAGCAUUAUUGGAAACGAUAAUGGUGGAACGCGGUAAACCCCUCGAGCGAGCAACCCAAACAUUUGGUAGGGGCACUCUUAAUAGGAAUUAAACGAAAAAAGAGGCACAUUUUGUGUAGACAGAUGAUUACUGAAGCUAAUUGCACCUGACAAUUAGUGGAACAGAACAUGGCUUAUAGAA
rnacentral:RNase_P_RNA from 1 species